UACGGGAGGCAGCAGUGGGGAAUAUUGCACAAUGGGCGCAAGCCUGAUGCAGCCAUGCCGCGUGUAUGAAGAAGGCCUUCGGGUUGUAAAGUACUUUCAGUCGUGAGGAAGGUGUUAAGGUUAAUAACCUUAGCAAUUGACGUUAGCGACAGAAGAAGCACCGGCUAACUCCGUGCCAGCAGCCGCGGUAAUACGGAGGGUGCGAGCGUUAAUCGGAAUUACUGGGCGUAAAGGGCACGCAGGCGGUUAAUUAAGUUGGAUGUGAAAUCCCCGGGCUUAACCUGGGAAUGGCAUUCAAGACUGGUUAGCUAGAGUCUUGUAGAGGGGGUAGAAUUCCAUGUGUAGCGGUGAAAUGCGUAGAGAUGUGGAGGAAUACCGGUGGCGAAGGCGGCCCCUGGGACAAAGACUGACGCUCAUGUGCGAAAGCGUGGGGAGCGAAACAGGGAUUUAGA
rnacentral:rRNA from 1 species